GACGAACGCUGGCGGCGUGCUUAACACAUGCAAGUCGAGCGGUAAGGCCCUUUCGGGGGUACACGAGCGGCGAACGGGUGAGUAACACGUGGGUGACCUGCCCUCAGCUCUGGGAUAAGCCUGGGAAACCGGGUCUAAUACCGGAUAUGACUCCAUGACGCAUGUUGUGGGGUGGAAAGCCUUGUGCGGCUGAGGAUGGGCCCGCGGCCUAUCAGCUUGUUGGUGGGGUGANGGCCUACCAAGGCGACGACGGGUAGCCGGCCUGAGAGGGCGACCGGCCACACUGGGACUGAGACACGGCCCAGACUCCUACGGGAGGCAGCAGUGGGGAAUCUUGCGCAAUGGGCGAAAGCCUGACGCAGCGACGCCGCGUGAGGGAUGACGGCCUGGUGU
rnacentral:rRNA from 1 species